rnacentral:rRNA from 1 species
UACGUAGGGGGCUAGCGUUGUCCGGAAUCAUUGGGCGUAAAGCGCGCGUAGGCGGCCCGGUAAGUCCGUUGUGAAAGUCAAAGGCUCAACCUUUGAACGCCGAUGGAUACUGCCGGGCUAGAGUCCGGAAGAGGCGAGUGGAAUUCCUGGUGUAGCGGUGGAAUGCGCAGAUAUCAGGAGGAACACCGAUAGCGAAGGCAGCUCGCUGGGACGGUACUGACGCUGAGGCGCGAAAGCGUGGGGAGCAAACAGG